UUUUUGGAGAGUUUGAUCCUGGCUCAGGACGAACGCUGGCGGCGUGCCUAAUACAUGCAAGUCGAGCGAAUCUGAUGGGAGCUUGCUCCCUGAUGAUUAGCGGCGGACGGGUGAGUAACACGUGGGUAACCUGCCUGUAAGACUGGGAUAACUCCGGGAAACCGGGGCUAAUACCGGAUAACUUUUUUCUUCGCAUGAGGGAGAAUUGAAAGAUGGCUUCGGCUAUCACUUACAGAUGGACCCGCGGCGCAUUAGCUAGUUGGUGAGGUAACGGCUCACCAAGGCGACGAUGCGUAGCCGACUUGAGAGGGUGAUCGGCCACACUGGGACUGAGACACGGCCCAGACUCCUACGGGAGGCAGCAGUAGGGAAUCUUCCGCAAUGGACGAAA
rnacentral:rRNA from 1 species